GGGUUGUGAGGUUAAGCGACUAAGCGUACACGGUGGAUGCCCUGGCAGUCAGAGGCGAUGAAGGACGUGCUAAUCUGCGAUAAGCGUCGGUAAGGUGAUAUGAACCGUUAUAACCGGCGAUUUCCGAAUGGGGAAACCCAGUGUGUUUCGACACACUAUCAUUAACUGAAUCCAUAGGUUAAUGAGGCGAACCGGGGGAACUGAAACAUCUAAGUACCCCGAGGAAAAGAAAUCAACCGAGAUUCCCCCAGUAGCGGCGAGCGAACGGGGAGCAGCCCAGAGCCUGAAUCAGUGUGUGUGUUAGUGGAAGCGUCUGGAAAGGCGCGCGAUACAGGGUGACAGCCCCGUACACAAAAAUGCACAUAUUGUGAGCUCGAUGAGUAGGGCGGGACACGUGGUAUCCUGUCUGAAUAUGGGGGGACCAUCCUCCAAGGCUAAAUACUCCUGACUGACCGAUAGUGAACCAGUACCGUGAGGGAAAGGCGAAAAGAACCCCGGCGAGGGGAGUGAAAAAGAACCUGAAACCGUGUACGUACAAGCAGUGGGAGCACGCUUAGGCGUGUGACUGCGUACCUUUUGUAUAAUGGGUCAGCGACUUAUAUUCUGUAGCAAGGUUAACCGAAUAGGGGAGCCGAAGGGAAACCGAGUCUUAACUGGGCGUUAAGUUGCAGGGUAUAGACCCGAAACCCGGUGAUCUAGCCAUGGGCAGGUUGAAGGUUGGGUAACACUAACUGGAGGACCGAACCGACUAAUGUUGAAAAAUUAGCGGAUGACUUGUGGCUGGGGGUGAAAGGCCAAUCAAACCGGGAGAUAGCUGGUUCUCCCCGAAAGCUAUUUAGGUAGCGCCUCGUGAAUUCAUCUCCGGGGGUAGAGCACUGUUUCGGCAAGGGGGUCAUCCCGACUUACCAACCCGAUGCAAACUGCGAAUACCGGAGAAUGUUAUCACGGGAGACACACGGCGGGUGCUAACGUCCGUCGUGAAGAGGGAAACAACCCAGACCGCCAGCUAAGGUCCCAAAGUCAUGGUUAAGUGGGAAACGAUGUGGGAAGGCCCAGACAGCCAGGAUGUUGGCUUAGAAGCAGCCAUCAUUUAAAGAAAGCGUAAUAGCUCACUGGUCGAGUCGGCCUGCGCGGAAGAUGUAACGGGGCUAAACCAUGCACCGAAGCUGCGGCAGCGACGCUUAUGCGUUGUUGGGUAGGGGAGCGUUCUGUAAGCCUGCGAAGGUGUGCUGUGAGGCAUGCUGGAGGUAUCAGAAGUGCGAAUGCUGACAUAAGUAACGAUAAAGCGGGUGAAAAGCCCGCUCGCCGGAAGACCAAGGGUUCCUGUCCAACGUUAAUCGGGGCAGGGUGAGUCGACCCCUAAGGCGAGGCCGAAAGGCGUAGUCGAUGGGAAACAGGUUAAUAUUCCUGUACUUGGUGUUACUGCGAAGGGGGGACGGAGAAGGCUAUGUUGGCCGGGCGACGGUUGUCCCGGUUUAAGCGUGUAGGCUGGUUUUCCAGGCAAAUCCGGAAAAUCAAGGCUGAGGCGUGAUGACGAGGCACUACGGUGCUGAAGCAACAAAUGCCCUGCUUCCAGGAAAAGCCUCUAAGCAUCAGGUAACAUCAAAUCGUACCCCAAACCGACACAGGUGGUCAGGUAGAGAAUACCAAGGCGCUUGAGAGAACUCGGGUGAAGGAACUAGGCAAAAUGGUGCCGUAACUUCGGGAGAAGGCACGCUGAUAUGUAGGUGAAGUCCCUCGCGGAUGGAGCUGAAAUCAGUCGAAGAUACCAGCUGGCUGCAACUGUUUAUUAAAAACACAGCACUGUGCAAACACGAAAGUGGACGUAUACGGUGUGACGCCUGCCCGGUGCCGGAAGGUUAAUUGAUGGGGUCAGCGCAAGCGAAGCUCUUGAUCGAAGCCCCGGUAAACGGCGGCCGUAACUAUAACGGUCCUAAGGUAGCGAAAUUCCUUGUCGGGUAAGUUCCGACCUGCACGAAUGGCGUAAUGAUGGCCAGGCUGUCUCCACCCGAGACUCAGUGAAAUUGAACUCGCUGUGAAGAUGCAGUGUACCCGCGGCAAGACGGAAAGACCCCGUGAACCUUUACUAUAGCUUGACACUGAACAUUGAGCCUUGAUGUGUAGGAUAGGUGGGAGGCUUUGAAGUGUGGACGCCAGUCUGCAUGGAGCCGGCCUUGAAAUACCACCCUUUAAUGUUUGAUGUUCUAACGU
rnacentral:rRNA from 1 species